rnacentral:rRNA from 1 species
CAAAUCAGGUAGACUACCCGC